rnacentral:rRNA from 1 species
UACGAAGGGGGCUAGCGUUGUUCGGAAUUACUGGGCGUAAAGCGCACGUAGGCGGAUAUUUAAGUCAGGGGUGAAAUCCCAGAGCUCAACUCUGGAACUGCCUUUGAUACUGGGUAUCUUGAGUAUGGAAGAGGUAAGUGGAAUUGCGAGUGUAGAGGUGAAAUUCGUAGAUAUUCGCAGGAACACCAGUGGCGAAGGCGGCUUACUGGUCCAUAACUGACGCUGAGGUGCGAAGCGUGGGGAGCAAACAGG